rnacentral:rRNA from 1 species
GAUGAACGCUGGCGGCGUGCUUAACACAUGCAAGUCGAACGGUGAAGCAGGAGCUUGCUCUUGUGGAUCAGUGGCGAACGGGUGAGUAACACGUGAGCAACCUGCCCCUGACCCUGGGAUAAGCGCUGGAAACGGCGUCUAAUACUGGAUAUGUGAUGUGACCGCAUGGUCUGCAUCUGGAAAGAAUUUCGGUUGGGGAUGGGCUCGCGGCCUAUCAGCUUGUUGGUGAGGUAAUGGCUCACCAAGGCGUCGACGGGUAGCCGGCCUGAGAGGGUGACCGGCCACGCUGGGACUGAGACACGGCCCAGACUCCUACGGGAGGCAGCAGUGGGGAAUAUUGCACAAUGGGCGGAAGCCUGAUGCAGCAACGCCGCGUGAGGGAUGACGGCCUUCGGGUUGUAAACCUCUUUUAGCAGGGAAGAAGCGAAAGUGACGGUACCUGCAGAAAAAGCACCGGCUAACUACGUGCCAGCCGCCGCGGUAA